UGCUCGAGCGCCUUUCCUGGCGAUGGACUAUGCAGAAUUCGCCCUUAUAGUUGGAUCCUGGCUCAGGAUGAACGCUAGCGGGAGGCUUAACACAUGCAAGCCGAGCGGUAUUGUUUCUUCGGAAAUGAGAGAGCGGCGUACGGGUGCGGAACACGUGUGCAACCUGCCUUUAUCAGGGGGAUAGCCUUUCGAAAGGAAGAUUAACACCCCAUAAUAUUUAGAAUGGCAUCAUUUUAAAUUGAAAACUCCGGUGGAUAGAGAUGGGCGCGCGCAAGAUUAGAUAGUUGGUAGGGUAACGGCCUACCAAGUCUACGAUCUUUAGGGGGCCUGAGAGGGUGAUCCCCCACGCUGGUACUGAGACACGGACCAGACUCCUACGGGAGGCAGCAGUGAGGAAUAUUGGACAAUGGGUGAAAGCCUGAUCCAGCCAUCCCGCGUGAAGGAUGACGGCCCUAUGGGUUGUAAACUUCUUUUGUAUAGGGAUAAACCUUUCCUCGUGAGGAAAGCUGAAGGUACUAUACGAAUAAGCACCGGCUAACUCCGUGCCAGCAGCCGCGGUAAUACGGAGGGUGCAAGCGUUAUCCGGAUUUAUUGGGUUUAAAGGGUCCGUAGGCUGAUUUGUAAGUCAGUGGUGAAAUCUCACAGCUUAACUGUGAAACUGCCAUUGAUACUGCAAGUCUUGAGUGUUGUUGAAGUAGCUGGAAUAAGUAGUGUAGCGGUGAAAUGCAUAGAUAUUACUUAGAACACCAAUUGCGAGGGCAGGUUACUAAGCAACAACUGACGCUGAUGGACGAAAGCGUGGGGAGCGAACAGGAUUAGAUACCCUGGUAGUCCACGCCGUAAACGAUGCUAACUCGUUUUUGGGUUUUCGGAUUCAGAGACUAAGC
rnacentral:rRNA from 1 species